CACGGGGGGAGCAAGCGUUGUUCGGAAUCACUGGGCGUAAAGGGCGUGUAGGCGGUCAGGUAAGUGAGAUGUGAAAUGCCCCGGCUCACCCGGGGACCGGCAUCUCAUACUGCUUGGCUUGAGUACGGGAGAGGAUGUGGGAAUUCCUGGUGUAGCGGUGAAAUGCGCAGAUAUCAGGAGGAACACCGGUGGUGUAGACGGCUUCUGGACGCAAUCACUGACGCUGAGGUACGAAAGCGUGGGUAGCAAACAGG
rnacentral:rRNA from 1 species